UUGGAGGGCAAGUCUGGUGCCAGCAGCCGCGGUAAUUCCAGCUCCAAUAGCGUAUAUUAAAGUUGUUGCAGUUAAAAAGCUCGUAGUUGAAUUUCGGGAUUUGUCAGUUGGUCGGGCUUCACUGUCCGUAUUGACUUGAUGGAUUCUUACCUUCUGAAUAACCAGCAUGCUAUUAAGUUAGUGCGUUGGGGAAGCAGAUCUAUUACCUUGAAAAAAUUAGAGUGCUUAAAGCGAGCUAGUGCUUGAAUAGAUUAGCAUGGAAUAAUAAAAUAGGACGGCAUGGUUCUAUUUUGUUGGUUUCUAGGAUCACCGUAAUGAUUAAUAGGGAUAGUUGGGGGCAUUAGUAUUCAAUUGUCAGAGGUGAAAUUCUUGGAUUUAUUGAAGACUAACUUCUGCGAAAGCAUUUGCCAAGGAUGUUUUCAUUAAUCAAGAACGAAAGUUAGGGGAUCGAAGACGAUCAGAUACCGUCGUAGUCUUAACCAUAAACUAUGCCGACUAGGAAUCGGACGAUGUUAAUUUUUUAAUGUACUC
rnacentral:rRNA from 1 species